rnacentral:lncRNA from 1 species
ACACAAGCGAGCUUUACUAGCAAGUUUCAACAAAAGCCACAAUAAAAUUGCAAGCAAUUCUUCAAAAUACCUGUUGGCUGCUCAGUUAUGGUAACGCUUAGUUUGUAUCAUUAUAAAUCGUAAGGUGUCCUAAGUUUGUCAUCACUGCAACCAUUGACUAUUCGCUUCCCCCCAUCCUUUACUCCCAUAUAGUUAAGUACACUAACCACAAGUGACAACACUGAAAACAUCAUACAGACUGGCAAAAACAAUCACAAAUGUAUUGUACAUCAUUCCUUUCAAAAAAACAAAAAAUCAAAAAGCAGACAGAAAACAGACCCCACCUCAAUACAUUACAGGACCAGACUCGGACUGCAUACAAAAAAAAAAAACCCACUUCUCCCUUAAAAAUAAAAAUCCUUAUACCUAAUCAGAUGAUUACUCAACUCCUCAGGAAUGCAAACAUCAACAGCUUAUUGCCAAGCCAAACAAAACAUGCCAACUGUAAACUCUCCUUUAGUCAAAAAGUAAAUGCCUUCUAACUAUUGAUGGAUAACACUUCUUGGCUGCUCAGUCAUGGUAACGCUUAGUUUGUAUCAUUAUUUAUCGUAAGGUGUCCUAAGAGUGUCAUCAUUGCAACCACUUUCUUCCCAUCAAAGCAACCUUUUACACUGGCAUAAACAGUCACGACAAAUUCAACUUUAAAAAAAAAAGUUGUCAUCGAAAAGCAAUUUGGAGGGCUAAGUAUGGAGAAAAGACAUGUCCUAUCCAUGCAUUAAUAAACCAGAUUUCGAAUAAGUAUAAAGGUUAAAAAUUACACUUCUUCCUACAAGAAAAUAAUUAUACCUAAUAAGCAGAUAAUAAUGCAAAUGACACAAGCUCCAUCAUCAACCCAAACAAAACAUGCUAACUUUAAACUGGCCUCUAGGUAAAAGUAAAUGUCUUUAACCACAAUGACAGAUGAUACUUUUUUCGGGCUGCUCAGUCAUGGUAACGCUUAGUUUGUAUCAUUAUUUAUCUUAAGGUGUCCUAAGAUUUUCAUCAUUGCAACCAUUGACAAAAACACAGUCACCACGAAUUGCAACUUGGAUCAUUUGUUUUCAAAAAGUUAUAAAAGAAAAGUCAUUAGGAGGGCUAGGGGUGAAAAAGACAUGUCACUGCCAUGCAUUACAAGACCAGAUUUGAAAUAUGAAGAAAGAAUAAAAAAAAAAAUCACUUCUCCCUACAAGAAACUCAUUGUACCUAAUAAGCAGACGAUUAUGAAAACUCCCAAGGAAUGCAAACACCCCCACUAGCUCAAUCAUCAUGCCAACUAACUUUACAUGGCCUCUAGGUAAACGUAAAUGUCUUUAACCACAAUGACAAAUAUUUUUUACUGGCUGCUCAGUCAUGGUAACGCUUAGUUUGUAUCAUUAUUUAUCGUAAGGUGUCCUAAGUUUGUCAUCAUUGCAACCAGCAAAAAUUCUUCAGUGUUAAUGCAAUUCCACAACCAUGAAUGAUUAAUGUGCAGGACACUGCUUCAUCUUAUUAUACCCAGUAAUUUAUAUAAUAAUAAACAGCAACCUUAGCUUAUAGUACAAGCUAAAACCUAUGCCCUUUAGAAUAGAUUUGUCACUAGUUAAAAUUUAGACUCAUUUAACCCUAUUAAACUCCCUUCUGAUCAGAGCACUUAUGUGUCAUGAAUUUGCUUCCCACUGCUUAAAAAAAAACUUCUUAGUUGCUUUUCAUUUUACAGAAA